rnacentral:rRNA from 1 species
UGGGGAAUAUUGGACAAUGGGGGGAACCCUGAUCCAGCCAUGCCGCGUGUGUGAAGAAGGCCUUAUGGUUGUAAAGCACUUUAAGCGAGGAGGAGGGUACUGGUAUUAAUACUACCAGGUACUGGACGUUACUCGCAGAAUAAGCACCGGCUAACUCUGUGCCAGCAGCCGCGGUAAUACAGAGGGUGCGAGCGUUAAUCGGAUUUACUGGGCGUAAAGCGUGCGUAGGCGGCUAAUUGAGUCGGAUGUGAAAUCCCCGAGCUUAACUUGGGAAUUGCAUUCGAUACUUGUUAGCUAGAGUGUGGGAGAGGAUGGCAGAAAUCCAGGUGGAGCGGUGAAAUGCGUAGAGAUCUGGAGGAAUACCGAUGGCGAAGGCAGCCAUCUGGCCUAACACUGACGCUGAGGUACGAAAGCAUGGGGAGCAAACAGG